rnacentral:rRNA from 1 species
AGAUGGCGACCGGCGCACGGGUGAGUAACACGUAUCCAACCUGCCGAUAACUCGGGGAUAGCCUUUCGAAAGAAAGAUUAAUACCCGAUGGUAUAAUCAGACCGCAUGGUUUGAUUAUUAAAGAAUUUCGGUUAUCGAUGGGGAUGCGUUCCAUUAGGCAGUUGGUGAGGUAACGGCUCACCAAACCUUCGAUGGAUAGGGGUUCUGAGAGGAAGGUCCCCCACAUUGAACUGAGACACGGUCCAA